ACUCAUUUCAGCAGAACAUAUACUAAAAAUUGAAACAGUUUAGAGAUGAUUAGCAUGACCUCUGUGCAAAGAUGACACACGAACUCAUGGAACAUUCCAUAUUUUU